UCAGUAUGAUCAUCAUGAGCACCAUUUUGACCAACUGUGUUUUCAUGACAUUUAGUGAUCCUCCAGAAUGGAACAAGAUAGUAGAGUAUACCUUCACAGGUAUCUACACCUUCGAAUCACUUACCAAGAUUGUGGCGCGAGGCUUUUGUAUAGACGGGUUCACUUUUCUACGAGAUCCAUGGAACUGGCUGGACUUCAUGGUGAUCUCUAUGGCAUAUGUAACAGAAUUUGUGGACCUGGGGAAUGUCUCGGCGCUGAGAACGUUCAGAGUUCUCCGAGCAUUGAAAACUAUUUCUGUGAUUCCAGGUGAGACUCCCAUUUAAACACUAAAGCCGAGUUUAUUUUGAUUUCUCAUUAAAUGGAUUCUCAUAAUUUCUUAUUACUUUAGACUCUUAAAGAGGAUGCCUCAGAAACGAUAACUGUUUUGUUGACUUUUUAUUUUCCAAACGAUCAAAAAUGGUAGCAAUACAUUUUUGAUAGGCUUCGCAGUCUACUGGCAGUCUUGUGGUGUUAAGUUGAAAAAGUGCUCCUGAUAUGACAUACUAGAAGACGAACAACCCAUAUAAUACGCAGGUGGGAUACACUGCAAAUGUUGUAUUAAUGCUUGUAUUUUAAUAAUAUUCUCCCCCAAAGUGACAUUAACAGAUUCAUACAGUAUACUGAGAGCAGAUCGUAUGGGUAGGAGCCUGAGUUGUCCACCAAGGAAAACGUCAGGCCCUAGUUGAUAACUCUCCCAUGGUUAAGAAA